rnacentral:rRNA from 1 species
UACGUAGGGUGCGAGCGUUGUCCGGAAUUAUUGGGCGUAAAGAGCUUGUAGGCGGUUUGUCGCGUCUGCUGUGAAAAUCCGGGGCUCAACCCCGGACUUGCAGUGGGUACGGGCAGACUAGAGUGUGGUAGGGGAGACUGGAAUUCCUGGUGUAGCGGUGGAAUGCGCAGAUAUCAGGAGGAACACCUGCGGCGAAGGCGGGUUGCUGGGCCGACACUGACGCUGAGGCGCGAAAGCUAGGGGAGCGAACGGG